GCGAUAUGGGUUAUCUACACUGUUUUGCUUCAAAUUAUCGUGGUUUCAAAUCACUUAAUUGCCGACAAACCACACUACAUGCUGUUGCUUUUGUGCAAGGAAUUUUUAAAAGGAAUUAAUUACACGAUAUAGGAGAAGAGAUGGAAUCGAUUAGAGACUGAAAAGGAAAUUGACUGAUGGAGGCAGAGGGCAUGACGGAUCUGUUCAAUGACUGCAUCGAUCUUUACCAAGAAAGAAGAUGGUAUGACAAAAGGUGUGAUUAAGAUUCUAGAAAAUCUGUUUUCAUCCUAUUGAACAAAAGUCACUUUGAAGGCAGGAAAAAUGAAUAACGCAGCAUCAAUUCAAGGAGUGCUAAGUCACGAAGGCCAAACCCAACUAAAACAUAACAAGGCAUUGGGAGUGGAUGAUAACCCCUCUAAAUGCCUACGGCUUGGAAGAGUUUCAGUCAUGAAUCCAAAAUCUCACCAUUCAAAUCUGGGAAGAGAAGGAUGUACCAGGUGACCUCAGAGAUGCUGCAGUCGGAGACAAGUCUGACUGUGAUCUCUGCAGAGGGGUCUGCUGCAGGGAGUGUCAUUACCUGGGUCCUUCUGAACUGGCUCCUUCCUGUGGCUGAGGAGCUGCACCCCAAUAGCAGCGUGGAUUCCAUCCAUCUGGGCACACAGUUGGCAUGAUCUUCACCAUGUGACAACUCCAAGAAAAAUGCAGAGAUCAACACCUGCCACGUUACUUUUUUUUCAAACUCACUGAAGCCUUUGACUCCAUUAAUCAGGAGAGAAUGUAGAACAUCUGCUUAAAAUUUGGCGAUCCACAGAAAUUCAUCUCCAGUUUACUUUUGCUGCAGGACGGCAUGCAAGCCAUGACCCUAACUGACAGAUCGACAACAGAAUGAAUCUGAGUGAAGCACCGUGUUAAGUAAGAUUGCAUCAUUGCCCCAACGUUCUUCCUAAUCUUUCCCACCACAAUAUUGCACCUCAUCUUCAACAAGCUUCCUGCAGAAUUGGAACCAAUCUUCAGAACUACAUGGAAGCUGUCCAACUAACAGCAUCUACAUUCCAAAACCAAGAUCACACAAAGCACAGCAGUCAGUCUCAGAAUACAGAUGACAUUUGCAUUUGUGCAUGCUCAGAGGCCAAGCUCCAAGCCAGUGGAGGCCUUUUCACUGAACCAUACAAGAGGAUGAGUCUUGCACUCAACAUGCACAAGACAGAAGUCAUCUACCAAACUGUUCCUGAUGCACCACACUGCUGUCUGAAAAUCAAGAUUCACCGUGAGACCCUGGAAAAUGUGGACCAUUCACUUAUCCCAGGAGCCACCUCUGAGUGAAGGCAGACGUCAGGCAUGUCCAUCACCAGCCUCUUGAACAGACACACUGUUCUAAGUUCUGUCACAGAAAGAAAUUACCAGCUAGACAGAGGAAAAGCUUCAAGAAUGUGUUGAAAGCCUCCUUAAAGAAAGGUAGCAUGCCCAUUGACUCCUGGGAAUCUCCGGCCCAUGACCACUUGAAGUGGAGAAGGAACAUUUGGAAUGGCAAGGAAUGCAACACUGCACAAACUCCCAACCCAGCUGCCCUUUUGGCCACUUCCUGUCCCAUUUGUGGAACAGUCUGUGGUCUUGUCUAGGUCACAUUAGCCACCUCAGAACCACAAAACUGGAGCGGAAGCAAAUUAUCCUCUAUCCAAAAGAAAAUGCCUGAGAAGAAGAGCAACUCUGCUCACUUAUACAUGAUACAGAAAAAAAGCCUGUCAGAGUUGAUAAGAUCGACAGAGAAACAUGUCGGUUCGAACAGGUGGCAUUAUCUGUGGAAAUUAUCUAUUGCGGAGUGAAAUAUUUAUUCUAAUUGUAAAAAAAAAUUGACCUUCAAAUCCACUUCAGGAUCGAUUCAUUUUGCAAUCCGGUGCACAGAGGACUGAAUGUAAAGAAUAAUAAUGGUUAAAAAUUUACAUUCUUAUUGCAGAAUCCUUUGUUGGAGAAUAUAAGAACAGCAAGCUGCAAACAAAAGUUUGAAAUCAAAAACAUUUAUUGGCAAAAUGUUACUGCUGUCACCACUGUAGUGUGUGCAAGAAUACUGACAGUUACAAAGAGAUUAACAAAGAAAACAUUAGUUUGUUGAGGUGGAAAGUACCAUCUGUUAGCACUGACCUGUUAGAAGCAAAUAUUUUUCAUUGUUAUUCUAAGGCUGCUAAAACAAC